GGCUCAGAACGAACGCUGGCGGCGUGCUUAACACAUGCAAGUCGAACGAACCUUCGGGUUAGUGGCGGACGGGUGAGUAACGCGUGAGAAUCUGCCCUCAGGAGGGGGAUAACGGUUGGAAACGACCGCUAAUACCCCAUAUGCCGAGAGGUGAAAAGAAAUUCGCCUGAGGAUGAGCUCGCGUCUGAUUAGCUAGUUGGUGUGGUAAUGGCGCGGCCAAGGCUUCGAUCAGUAGCUGGUCUGAGAGGAUGAUCAGCCACACUGGGACUGAGACACGACCCAGACUCCUACGGGAUGUCAGCAGUGGG
rnacentral:rRNA from 1 species